rnacentral:rRNA from 1 species
GACGAACGCUGGCGGCGUGCUUAACACAUGCAAGUCGAACGGAAAGGCCCUGCUUUUGUGGGGUGCUCGAGUGGCGAACGGGGGAGUAACACGUGAGUAACCUGCCCUUGACUUUGGGAUAACUUCAGGAAACUGGGGCUAAUACCGGAUAGGAGCUCCUGCUGCAUGGUGGGGGUUGGAAAGUUUCGGCGGUUGGGGAUGGACUCGCGGCUUAUCAGCUUGUUGGUGGGGUAGUGGCUUACCAAGGCUUUGACGGGUAGCCGGCCUGAGAGGGUGACCGGCCACAUUGGUACUGAGAUACGGCCCAGUCUCCUACGGGAGGCAGCAGUGGGGAAUAUUGCACAAUGGGCGGAAGUCUGAUGCAGCAACGCCGCGUGCGGGAUGACGGCCUUCGGGUUGUAAAACGCUUUAGCCUAUGACGAAGCGUGAGUGACGGUAAUGGGUAAAGAAGCACCGGCUAACUACGUG